rnacentral:rRNA from 1 species
UACGUAGGGGGCAAGCGUUUGUCCGGAUUUAUUGGGCGUAAAGAGCGUGUAGGCGGCUAUACAGGUCCGCUGUGAAACUCGAGGCUCAACCUCGAGACGUCGGUGGAAACCGUAUGGCUAGAGUCCGGAAGAGGAGAGUGGAAUUCCAGGUGUAGCGGUGAAAUGCGUAGAUAUCUGGAGGAACACCGGUGGCGAAGGCGGCAUCCUGGACCAACACUGACACUGAGGAGCGAAAGCCAGGGGAGCAAACGGG